GGGUAUAUAACUUACGGGUAGAGUGUCAUCUUGAUAAGUUGGAAGUCAUCGGUUUGAGCCUGAUUACCCU
rfam:Gossypium hirsutum cultivar TM-1 chromosome 14, whole genome shotgun sequence